rnacentral:lncRNA from 1 species
UAAGUCAGGAAUUUGAUGUACAGUAGUUGUCGUUUGUUUAUGUAAUAUAUACGUGUUUCUCGUUUUUUUUUAUAUAGAUUAGACCGUUGGUUUUCCCGUUUGAAUGGUUUUACACUAGUAAUUUUGGGGCCUUUAUAGCUUGUUGUUCGGUGUGAGCCAAGGCUCCGUGUUGAAGGCCGUACUUUAACCUAUUAUGGUUUACUUUUUAAAUUGUUACUUGGAUGAAGAGUUGUCUCAUUGGCACUCACACCACAUCUUCCUAUAUCUAUAUAU